GUCCGCCAUUUUCACGCGGCGGCGUGGUGUGUUGUUGAGCAGGGAGGGGUGGUGCGGUUGGUUACGGUUCUUCUUUUUCGCAACACCUUGUUACCCGACAUAACUUCUGUAGUCUCACAAAAUGAUGCCCACUACGGAUGCAGCC